GCAGCUGAUUGAAACCGAAAGUUAAGUUGUUCUUUUGUUCAGGAUCCAUUUUGAGACGACAGAGCAGAAAAUACUAUAUGGAGAUUAUUGAAAAAUAAAGUAAGUAUUUCUGAACAAUAAUUAAUUCUACUGGACAGAGUAAGAGAAUGAAUACCUGGAAUGAGAUAUUACUAGUUAGUAGAACUACUACUUGAGCUGAGUUGCUGACAGACAGCAGUUUUCAAAGUGGAAACUAAUCAGUAGGUCUACAUGUUAUCAGUAAAACGUCUGGUAAAGAUGGCGGAGGAGCUUUUACAUUAUAUGGUUUUAUGUUUAUCUCAGGGUUUCUCAAUCCUUUUGUUCUUACCAGCACUUACACACCUGAUUCAACUAAUCAUUAAAUAUUUUAAGACAGUUUAAUAUUUGAGGCAUACAAAUUAACUUUCUCAAAUUAAAACCUUUUGGGUUUGGUAGAUCUGUUAACAAUUAUUAAAGUCCUACAUUAACUCAUAUGUUGGAGAUAAAAAAAAACACAACUAAACCUGGUUUAGAGUAAAUGAUAAGUUUAGCUUAAAUAAUGUAAGAGAGAUGUCUCGAAGAAGGACUAUAAAAAAAAAUGUAAGCAAGAUUCGGUACAAUGCCACGAGUUACUGAUGUCACUGUUAGCGCCACCCUCUGGUUAAUAUUGUUAUAUAAAGUGAAAGUAAGGGUGUGGUCUACGCUGUUACAAAAUGACUGUAGAAAAUGUAGCGCACAUUUCUCUGCAACAUUAGAAGCAGGAUAAAUGUGUUGAUUUGAAGGACAGACGGACAGACUCUGGAUCCAUUUUGAGACGACAGAGCAGAAAACACUAUAUGGACAAUACUGACAAAUAAAGGGUCAGUGCUCUAAAAUGAGUCUCUCUGGGGAGAGGAAGGAGGGGGGCCCUGCCUCUAAAAUGCAUCUCUCUGGGGAGAGAGAGGAGGGGGCCCCUGCCUCUAAAAUGAGUCUCUCUGGGGGACAUGACACCAAAGCUAAGAGACCAAUCAAGCAGGAGAGACCAACCUCCCCUGUACCCAGCUGUGUGUCCAUGAAGAGUGACCGGUCUAUGGUUCAUCCUAUAGAGUUUAGAGAGGGAGACUUUUCUACUGAACAAAGACCAAUCAAGCAGAAGAGACCAGCCUCCCCUGUUCCCAGCUGUGUGUCCAUGAAGAGUGACCGGUCUAUGGUUCAUCCUAUAGAGUUUAGAGAGGGAGACUUUUCUACUGAACAAAGACCAAUCAAGCAGAAGAGACCAGCCUCCCCUGUACCCAGCUGUGUGUCCAUGAAGAGUGACCGGUCUAUGGUUCAUCCUAUAGAGUUUAGAGAGGGAGACUUUUCUACUGAACAAAGACCAAUCAAGCAGGAGAGACCAGCCUCCCCUGUUCCCAGCUGUGUGUCCAUGAAGAGUGACCAGUCUAUGGAACAUCCUAUAACCUUUAGAGAGGGAGACUUUUCUACUGAACAAAGACCAAUCAAGCAGGAGAGACCAGCCUCCCCUGUACCCAGCUGUGUGUCCAUGAAGAGUGACCGGUCUAUGGUUCAUCCUAUAGAGUUUAGAGAGGGAGACUUUUCUACUGAACAAAGACCAAUCAAGCAGGAGAGACCAGCCUCCCCUGUACCCAGCUGUGUGUCCAUGAAGAGUGACCAGUCUAUGGAACAUCCUAUAACCUUUAGAGAGGGAGACUUUUCUACUGAACAAAGGUAAGAAGAACUCAUGGGUCAUGGUCAGUGAGUUAAACAACACUGUCUCUAGUCAUUUCUCCUCUCCCAUUUUCACAUUUCUUUUUGUUGUUUUCAUAAUUCAUAGGCUAAUACUUUAGUCCAUUUUCAUAGUCCUAAAACAAUAUUAAACAAACACAACAUUCCCUCCCUCCCUCCCUCCCUGUCUGUCUGUCUAACGAUGAACUAAGCUGUUCAACGUUAACAACGAUGGUUUUGGGAAACAGCUCAGAGAUUUAACAAUACUCCUACGAAGGUUUUAAUGAUGAACUUGGCUUUAAGAGGCUUUUGGGAAACCAGGCCGUGGAUAAAAACAUCUGAUAAAUUCAAAAGUAAAUGUUUUACAUACAGAUCUC
ensembl:lncRNA